CCCUUAGACGUUCUGGGCCGCACGCGCGCUACACUGAUGCGUUCAACAAGUUUCCUUGGCCGAGAGGCCUGGGCAAUCUUCUUAAUAUGUAUCGUGAUAGGGAUAGAUUAUUGCAAUUAUUAAUCUUGAACGAGGAAUUCCUAGUAAACGCAGAUCAUCAAUCUGCAUUGAUUACGUCCCUGCCCUUUGUACACACCGCCCGUCGCACCUACCGAUUGGAUGUUCCGGUGAAGCCUCGGGAUGAGGACUGGUGCCUUUAUUGGCAUGAGUUGUUCAGAACUUGUCUAAACCUUAUCAUCUAGAGGAAGGUGAAGUCGUAACA
rnacentral:rRNA from 1 species